rnacentral:rRNA from 1 species
ACCUCGACACCUACGGGGGCAGCAGUGGGGAAUAUUGCACAAUGGGGGAAACCCUGAUGCAGCGACGCCGCGUGGAGGAAGAAGGUCUUCGGAUUGUAAACUCCUGUUGUUGGGGAAAAAGAGGAUGGUACCCAACAAGGAAGUGACGGCUAACUACGUGCCAGUAGCCGCGGUAAUCUGAGCGGGCUGGCAAGGC